rnacentral:lncRNA from 1 species
UAAUAAGGACACAUGUUCCACUAUGUUCAUAGUAGGCUUAUUUAUAAUAGCCAGGAGCUGGAAACAACCCAGAUCUCCUUCAACAGAGGAAUAGAUACAGAAAAUGUGGUACAUUUUCACAAUGGAGUAUUACUCAGUUAUUAAAAAAAUAACUUAAUGAAAUUCACAGGCUAAUUGAUGGAACUAGAAAAUAUCCUGAGUGAGGUAACCCAGUCACAAAAGAGCACACAUACUAUGUACUUACUAACAAGUGGAUAUUAGGAAAAAAGGUCGGAAUACCCAAGAUACAACUCACAGACUAUGUGAAUCUCAAGUAGAAGGAAAGAACAAAGUAUGGAUGCUUCUGUCCUACUUAGAAGGGGGAACAAAAUGAGCAUGGAAGAUAGAGGGAGAGAAGGACUUGGGAGGGAGAGGGGAGGGGAAGGGAAAAAGGGGACAGUACUAGGGGGAGGAGACGGGAGAUAUACAGAGGGUCAGGAAAUUGAAUAGAGGUGUGUAGCAGUGGGGGCAGGGUGUGGAACUGGGGGUAACCACUACAAAGUCCCGGAUGCCAGGAAAGCGAGAGGCUCCCAGGACUGAACUCAGAUAACAUUAGCUGAAAUACCCAACAAAGUUGAGAGAGAAUCUGCAGAGAUCAUAUUCAGAGGUUAGGCACAGCCCCUAGUUGAGGGAUGGGGCCAACUACCCAUCUCAAAAAUAUUGAACCAGAAUUGCUCCUGUCUAAAGGAAAUACAGGGAUAAAUAGUGGAGUAGAAACUGAAGGAAAGGCCAUCCAGAGACUGCCCCACCUAGGGAUCCAUCCCAUAUACAGUCUCCAAACCCAGACACUAUUGCGGAUGCCAAGAAGUGCUUGUUGACAGGAGCCUUAUAUAGCUGUCUCCUGAGAAUCUCUGCCAGAGCAUGACCAAUACAGAUGUGGAUGCUUGUAGCCAACCAUCGGACUGAGCAUGGGGACUUCAAUGGGGGGAGUUAAGGGAAGGGCUGAAGGAGCUGAAUGGGGUUGUGACCCUAUAGGAAGAACAACAGUAUCAACCAAUCAGACCCACCAGAGCUCCCAAGGACUAAACCACUAACCAUAGGGAGCACAUGAAGAGACCCAUGGCUCCACCUGCAUAUAUAGCAGAGGGUUGCCUUAUCUGACAUCAAUGGAAGGGGAGGCCUUUGGUCCUUUGAAGGAUCUAUUCUCCAGGAUAGGGGAAUGCUAGAGUGUUGAGGCAGGAGUGGAUGGGUUCACAAAAGAACACACAUAUGGGGAGCAUUCUUACACAAGCAGUUGUGAGGGGGGAUGGUAUAGGGGUUGGGAGAAGGGGUACUGGGAAGUGGGAUAACAUUUGAAAUUUAAACAAGUGAAACAACCAAUUAAAAAUUAAAAAAAAUCAAUGGAAUAGAAUUGAAGACCUAGAAAUGAACCUACACACCUAUAGUCACUUGAUCUUUGACAAAGGAGUUAAACCAUCCAGUGGAAAAAAGACAGCAUUUUCAAAAAAUGGUGCUGGUUCAACUGGCAUUUAGCAUGGAGAAGAAUGCAAAUUGAUCCAUUCUUAUCUCCCUGUUCAAAGCUCAAGUCCAAGUGGAUCAAGGACCUCCACAUAAAACCAGAUGCACUGGAACUAAUAGAAAAGAAAGUGGGAAAGAGCCUCGAGCACAUGGGCACAGGGGAAAAUUUCCUGAACAGAAUACCAAUGGCUUAUGCUUUAACAUCAAGAAUUGACAAAUGGGGCCUCAUAAAAUUGCAAAGUUACUGUAAGGCAAAGGACACUGGCAAUAGGAUAAAAUGUCAACCAACAGAUUUGGAAAAGAUCUUUACCAACCCUACAUUUGUUAGAGGGUUAAUAUCCAGUAUAUACAGAAGACUCAAGAAAUUAGACUCCUGAGAACCAAAUAACCUUAUUAAAAAGUGAGGUACAGAGCUAAACAAAGAAUUCUCAACUGAGGAAUACCGAAUGCCUUAGAAGCACCUAGAGAAAUAUUCCACAUCCUUAGUCAUCAGGGAAAUGAAAUCAAAACAACUCUGAGAUUCCACCUUACACCAGUCAGAAUGGCUAAUAUCAGAAAUUCAGGUGACUGAGUUACUGAAGCUGGUGAGGAUGUGGAGAAAAAAGGAACACUCCUCCAUUGUUGGUGGGAUUGCAAACUGGUGCAACCACUCUGGAAAUCAGUUUGCUGGUUACUCAGAAAAUUGGACAUAGUACUACCUGAGGACCCAGCGAUACCACUCCUGAGCAUAUACCCAGAAGAUGCUCCAACAUGUAAUAAGGACACAUGCUCCACUAUGUUCAUAGCAUCCUUAUUUAUAAUACUUAGAAGCUGGAAAGAACCCAGAUGUCCCUCAGCAGAGGAAUGGAUACAGAAAAUGUGGUACAUUUACGCAAUGGAAUACUACUCAGCAUUAAAAACUAUAAAUUUGU